rnacentral:rRNA from 1 species
GACAGUYCGRUCYCUAUCCGUCGCGGGCGCAGGAAAUUUGAGAGGAGCUGUCCUUAGUACGAGAGGACCGGGAUGGACACACCGCUGGUGUACCAGUUGUUCCGCCAGGAGCAUCGCUGGGUAGCUAUGUGUGGCAGGGAUAAACGCUGAAAGCAUCUAAGCGUGAAGCCCCCCUCAAGAUGAGAUUUCCCAUUUCUUCGGAAAGUAAGAUCCCUGAAAGAUGAUCAGGUAGAUAGGUUUGGAGUGGAAGUGUAGCGAUACAUGGAGCGGACAAAUACUAAUCGAUCGAGGACUUAACCAAAA